GAUUAUGCUCGAUCGAUGUAGCUGGUAAACCAUGCACCACGAGAUAAGACACAGCAAGAAAGCUUCGUCCCUCGGCCUUGAACAAAGCACCCUGUCACACUUCUAGACAGAUCGGAAGGGGAUGGAACAGAUCGUGGCGGGCGAUAUCCGGCUCUUCUCGUGCGCUCUGCUUCGAUUGUACUCGACAAGGGGGUGGCGAGUACAGGCUACUUACUUUUUAUCGGCUGCAAUAACCGCGGCGUGAAGUAUCGGGCUAUGUAACGCGACAAUUGGAGCAAGCGAGACGACCAGAAUCGGAGCUUUCGGUGCAACGAGCCGUAAGAUCGGCGAGGCUCGGCGUCGCUCGGACGCCCUCGGCUGUGGCUUGGUGAAAUGCGCCAAGGGUGUGGGAGAAUCGGUGGCUCAGUCCGUCACCGUGCGUUCCGCCUAGCGUAGUGGCCGGUCGCCGCUCCGAGCAACCGAUUUUGCGUGCGCUACCGAUCCUCUUCGUCUUCUUCAUCGACGCGCGUGUCUUCGUCGACCAUGUUCGUUCUCGUGUGAUACUGGUGCAGUGACCUAUUUCCGAUUCUUUCGCAGCUGCAUUGGAGAACCGUACAAGUAGCGAUCGGUAGGGUUGUACUUACGGCGUGAACGUGAACGACUAAAACGGAAGUGCAGAGAAGAAAUAUCACCGACGAACGAUAUCAUUGGCAAUAAUCGCUGUACUGGUUUCACGAGCAGU